rnacentral:lncRNA from 1 species
CAUGGAGCUAAUGGAGAAUCCAUUCAAGCAAAAGCAGUUAGCAUAUAUUAUUUGUCUGUAUCUAUGAGCAAGACUAUUGUAUUAAGAGAUUGUUAUUAUAUGUCCAGUGUAAUUAGAAAUAUUAUUUUUGUACCAAUUUAUUGUGACAUAGUUAUGAAAUAAAAGCAAAGAGCAAUAGUUGCUCUAUUUUUUUUAUCUAAUGAGUUUAUUCGAAAGGCAUAUAUGGAUAAUGGUCUCUUUAUGCUUCUACUUAAUG